GGACUCAUAGCCUAGCAUGGAUAAGGCGACAGCCUUCGGAGUUGUAGAUCGGGGGUUCAAAUCCCUCUGGGUCCACCA
rnacentral:tRNA from 1 species